rnacentral:rRNA from 1 species
CGGUGGAGCAUGUGGUUAAUUCGACGCAACGCGAAGAACCUUACCUACUCUUGACAUCCAGAGAAUUUGCUAGAGAUAGCUUAGUGCCUUCGGGAACUCUGAGACAGGUGCUGCAUGGCUGUCGUCAGCUCGUGUUGUGAAAUGUUGGGUUAAGUCCCGCAACGAGCGCAACCCUUAUCCUUUGUUGCCAGCGAGUAAUGUCGGGAACUCAAAGGAGACUGCCGGUGAUAAACCGGAGGAGGGUGGGAUGACGUCAAGUCAUCAUGGCCCUUACGAGUAGGGCUACACACGUGCUACAAUGGCAUAUACAAAGAGAAGCGAACUCGCGAGAGCAAGCGGACCUCAUAAAGUAUGUCGUAGUCCGGAUUGGAGUCUGCAACUCGACUCCAUGAAGUCGGAAUCGCUAGUAAUCGUGGAUCAGAAUGUCACGGUGAAUACGUUCCCGGGUCUU